AGUGAACGCUGGCGGUAGGCCUAACACAUGCAAGUCGAACGGCAGCACAGGAGAGCUUGCUCUCUGGGUGGCGAGUGGCGGACGGGUGAGGAAUACAUCGGAAUCUACUCUGUCGUGGGGGAUAACGUAGGGAAACUUACGCUAAUACCGCAUACGACCUACGGGUGAAAGCAGGGGAUCUUCGGACCUUGCGCGAUUGAAUGAGCCGAUGUCGGAUUAGCUAGUUGGCGGGGUAAAGGCCCACCAAGGCGACGAUCCUUAGGUGGUCUGAGAGGAUGAUCAGCCACACUGGAACUGAGACACGGUCCAGACUCCUACGGGAGGCAGCAGUGGGGAAUAUUGGACAAUGGGCGCAAGCCUGAUCCAGCCAUACCGCGUGGGUGAAGAAGGCCUUCGGGUUGUAAAGCCCUUUUGUUGGGAAAGAAAUCCAGCUGGCUAAUACCCGGUUGGGAUGACGGUACCCAAAGAAUAAGCACCGGCUAACUUCGUGCCAGCCGCCGCCGUAA
rnacentral:rRNA from 1 species